AAGGAUCAAAGUGACAUUUUAUGAAAGUGGCGUUUAAAUUAGAAAGAUAUAAAUGAUGGAAAAAAAUACUCAUUUUAAAAAAUGCCGUUAUAUAUAUGCAAAAACAAUAUAAUUAAAUUAACUAGGGCGAUAUAUUGGUGCUGAGCCCAAAAACACAAGGCAGCUGCCCAAAAAAGACAAGUAGCACUCUCAAACACUUUAUGCGCAUGGGACUCAUUUGAUUGGGCUGGGCUGGACAAUUCUCCGCCAAAACCGAACCAAACCGAAAGCAGUUGGUUCAUGAUUUUGUGAACCAAAUAUAAACCAAAUGCUAGAGCCCAACCAAAUUAUUUCGGUUUAGUUACGUUUUAUUCUAUAGUUUGUUUGAUUUGGUUUGUUUUUGUGUUAUUUUGUUCAGGUAAUUUACCAUAUAUAUUCAAUAAAAAUAAUAAUAUAAUAGUAAUAUAUUAUUACUACAACAAUUUUGAGUUCAUCAAUCAAUAAAUAAUAAAUAACAUAAUAAAUUCGACGUCAGACAAAAAAAAAUCACACAUAAAAGAAACUUUAAAGUUCCAUUACCAAUUUUCUCUCGUCAUUUAUCACUUCUUGAUUCUUCAUCAUAUCUUCUAACAAUGAUCGAACUCUACACCAAGUUAUCAACACACAUCCACAUUUAUAAUACCUAUAUUAUCUCUUAAAGUGAGCUAUGUAAUAUCAAUUAAAUAAAUUAAAGUAAAGUGUAUACUAUCACAUUAAUGAGCAUUUAUAUUAACUAAGAUAAAAUCUAUUUUUAAUUUUUAAUUUUCUCUCGAAACCGUUUGGUUUUUCGAUUUGUUUUGACUUUAAAUCAAACCAAAUAAAAACCAAUUGGUUCAUAGAUUUAUAAACCAUUUUGGAAUUUUUAUUGCCCAAACUGGGCUACUAAAAUACAAUUCGAUCCAGUUUGAUUCAUCCUCUACAUUUGAGAAAUAAAAUGUGAAAUGAACUUUUUUUUUGUUUUCAACUUUUAUGAAAGAGGGAGAAAAAAAGUGAAUGAUUUGUUCUUAAAAAACUACAAAUACUGUUGGAAAACUAUAACAAGCGGCCCCAAACUCUGGAGAGAAUUUGAGGUGGUCCUUAGAUACAACUCAAAAAUAAACUUACAUAUCUCUCUACAAUGAAUAAAAAUUCAAUCUUCAAACAUAAUCUUUUAAUAGUAGAAGAAUUAAAAUUUGCCAAACCAUUUACCAUUUUCGAUUCAAGUCUCUCUCCUUACUCAUCAUAAAUCAAUCUUUGUCUCUAAAAAUCACAAUAAACUAUAAUGACAAUAAGUAUAGAACUUAGUAAAAAAACCAAUUUUUCAUAUAUCAAAUACAUACAUAUUUAUAGAAUACAAAUGCAUGAUAAGCCAUGGUCAUUUGAGAACAUUGUAAACAAGUUCAUCAAAAUCUCAUUUGUCACUUUCAAACUUCACUUUUCCUUUCAAAUCACUUAUCAAGCUACUUUCAUUCAAUUAUGUAUUAUAGGACUCUCAUUUAACACUUAUAUUUUUAUAUAACACUCAUUUUGGGCUUCACACAAACGUUCUUCACUCACUUAUCUUAUUGACAUAAUAUAUAGAGUACCUACGACUAAGUGAGUAACGAAUUCAAGCACUUGGGGGAAAAAAAUAUUUUCUUUCUUCAAAACAAUUUGCUAAAAUCCACUUUCUCAUUUUAUAGAAAACAUAAUGCAUAUUCAUGCUUAUGCAAAUAAACAUUCAUACAUACAUAUCCUAUGUACACAAUCACGCUUAACACAUAACAACAUAUUACAUAAACAAAUGGGUAAAAUCAAACAUAUAUAUAUAUAUAUAUAUAUUGUGAUUUGUUUAAAAGUUUAGUUUACUUAUGUCUUGGCAUUUACAAUAAGCUUAACUGCAUAAACUAACCACUAUAACCUAGCAUCAAAAUCAAACUCCCAUCAAUAUCAUCAUAUACCAAUAAAAUUAUACACUCCAUUCUUCUGAAGAAACUAUUUCCUAAUAACCUUAUACAUCUUAAUAUCUCUUUUUCACAAUAACAUAAAGUUAUUAAUCAGCUCUCAAUCUAUGAUUUUUAUUAAAUUAAAAAUUAACUCAUAAAUAAUGAAAUUUUUGCAAGGAUUCCAUAGUCACAUAAAUUUAUAGGUAGUAAAAAAUUUCAAAGUCAAAUUCAUUCAAAAUCUAUUUCAAAAUAAUUUUAUUUCAAGAUUAAUGUAUCUUAAAAUCCAUAAUCUAGCAUUGAGGACCCUUCAUUCAUUUAUUCAAAACAAUUAAAAUACAAAAAAUUAGUACCCCAUUUUGGAUAUGAUAAACUAGACAUAUAGAAGGGUAAAUAUGAAAAGUUUUAUAAUCUUUUUAGAAGAUUUGUUAGCCAAAACAUUCUUUGCAUUUGAUAACACUGCAAAAACAUCAAUUUUUCAGAAUUUUAGUGUCUAAAUAAAAAAAAUCGUUAAAAGCAGAACAUAAGUCAUUUUUUAAUAAAAGAUUUUAUGUGACCCUUAAGAUGUCUAGUUUUGUUAGACAUAAACAAAUCUUCUUAACUUAAAAUAUAUAAUUUCAAAUAACAUUUAGAGUGAGUGAGUGAUUGACACUAAAAAAUGAACAUUCAAUAAGGAUAAAAUUAUCAGUUUUUCACUUAUUGUGUUGAUUAAUGCGCUCAUUAUUCUUAAAUUAUUUUAACACUCUCCAAAUGUAUUUUUAUGUUAAAUUAAUUUGUAAUUUGGUAAUAUGUUAAUUUUAUUUU
rnacentral:lncRNA from 1 species